rnacentral:rRNA from 1 species
UACGUAGGGUGCGAGCGUUAAUCGGAAUUACUGGGCGUAAAGCGUGCGCAGGCGGUCUUGUAAGCCAGAUGUGAAAGCCCCGGGCUUAACCUGGGAACUGCAUUUGGGACUGCAAGGCUGGAGUACGGCAGAGGGAGGUGGAAUUCCACGUGUAGCAGUGAAAUGCGUAGAGAUGUGGAGGAACACCGAUGGCGAAGGCAGCCUCCUGGGCUAGUACUGACGCUCAUGCACGAAAGCGUGGGGAGCAAACAGG